CCCCCCCCCCCCCCCCCCCCCCCCCCCCCCCCCCCCCCCCCCCCCCCCCCCCCCCCCCCUGGGGAUCCCCCUGAAAUACAGAGACUGAGAUCGGGGAUCCGGGAUCCCUGGGGAUCCCCCUGAAACACACAGACUGAGAUCAGGGAUCCCCCCAAACAGAGACUGAGAUCGGGGAUCCCCCCCAAACACAGAGACUGAGAUCGGGGAUCCUUGGGGAUCCCCCUGAAAUACACAGACUGAGAUCAGGGAUCCCCCCAAACACAGAGACUGAGAUUGGGGAUCCUCCCCAAACACAGAGACUGCGAUUCGGGAUC
rnacentral:lncRNA from 12 species